ensembl:piRNA 21ur-11353 ncRNA
UUUCUCGUUUUUGUCUUUGAG